rnacentral:rRNA from 1 species
UACAGAGGUCCCAAGCGUUGUUCGGAUUCACUGGGCGUAAAGGGUGCGUAGGCGGUCGGGUAAGUCUGAUGUGAAAUCUCACAGCUUAACUGUGAAACUGCAUUGGAUACUAUCCGGCUCGAGGAAUGGAGGGGAGACUGGAAUACUUGGUGUAGCAGUGAAAUGCGUAGAUAUCAAGUGGAACACCAGUGGCGAAGGCGAGUCUCUGGACAUUUCCUGACGCUGAGGCACGAAAGCCAGGGGGGCAAACGGG